rnacentral:rRNA from 1 species
GUCAAAUAAACGAAGGCUCACGGUGGAGACCUAGGGACUCAGAGACGAAGAAGGGCGCAGGUACCGGCGAAACGCUUCGGGGAGCUGGCAACAAGCUUUGAUCCGGAGAUUCCCGAAUAGGGCAACCUCUAGAACUACCUAUACAAUUCAUAGUUAGGAAAGAGACAACCUGGUGAACUGAAACAUCUUAGUAGCCAGAGGAAAAGAAAGCAAACGCGAUUCUCGUAGUAGCGGCGAGCGAAACGGGAACAGCCUAAACCAAUCGAUCAGGUUGGGGUAGUGGGAAGACAUUUUAUUCUUCAUACUCUUCUAACCCUUCAUACCCGAAGUAUGAGGGGAAGUAUGAGGGGAAGUAUGAUUACAAUCUUUGAUUGGUUACAAUCUUCGAUUGUAACUUACACGAUCUAAAGAUCGUGUUAGUCUGCGGAGCAGUAAUCUACACAAUCUUUAGAUUGUGUUAGAGAGGGAAGAAUGAUAAGAAAAACGAGCUCAUAUGUUGCUAAUAUCUAUGAUAAAUCACAUAUGCGCAUAAAAACACGAAGCAGCUGAAUCCUGCACCAUAGAUGGUGAAAGUCCAGUAGUGAAUAACGAGUUUUUCGAAAACUGCUAAAAAGCAGUCUACAAUCUACGAAGUAGUGUAGUCUGCAAAGCAGAAAGACGCGAUGUCUAAUCCCGAGUAGCAUGGGGCACGUGGAAUCCCGUGUGAAUCUGCGAGGACCACCUCGUAAGGCUAAAUAUUCCUGAGUCACCGAUAGUGAAAUAGUACCGCGAGGGAAAGGUGAAAAGAACCCCCGUAGGGGAGUGAAAUAGAACAUGAAACCGUCAGCUGACAAGCAGUGGGAGGGUGCAGAGCCUGACCGCGUGCCUGUUGAAGAAUGAGCCGGCGACUUAUAGCGAGUGGCAGGGUUAAGAAGUUUCGUUCGUAGCCCAAGCGAAAGCGAGUCUGAAUGGGGCGUCACGUCACUCGUUAUGGACCCGAACCCGGAUGAUCUAACCACGACCAGGAUGAAGCUUGGGUAACACCAAGUGGAGGUCCGAACCGACCGAUGUUGAAAAAUCGGCGGAUGAGUUAUGGUUAGCGGAGAAAUUCCAAUCGAAUUCGGAGCUAGCUGGUUCUCCCCGAAAUGCGUUGAGGCGCAGCGGUGACGACGAACUUCCUUGGGGUAAAGCUCACUGUUUCGAUACGGGCUGCGAAAGCGGUACCAAGUCGUGGCAAACUCAGAAUACAAGGAAUCGUUUUCCGUCAACCAGUGAGACGGUGGGGGAUAAGCUUCAUCGUCGAGAGGGAAACAGCCCAGAUCACCAGCUAAGGCCCCUAAAUGGCCGCUAAGUGGAAAAGGAUGUGAGAAUGCUGAAACAACCAGGAGGUUUGCUUAGAAGCAGCCACCCUUCAAAGAGUGCGUAAUAGCUCACUGGUAAAGCGUUCUUGCGCCGACAAUGGCCGGGACUAAGCGGCCUGCCGAAGCUGUGAGAUUCGAUUCAUAUUCGAAACGACCUUUGGCCUUUGGCUUGACCAAAGGGAAAGCUCCGACCAAAUAUUGAUACCGAAUCGGUAGGGGAGCGUUCUGCUUCGGGUGAAGCUUUCAUGUGAAUGGCAGUGGACGGAGCGGAAGUGAGAAUGUCGGCUUGAGUAACGAAAACAUUGGUGAGAAUCCAAUGCCCCGAAAACCUAAGGGUUCCUCCACAAGGUUCGUCCGUGGGGGGUGAGUCAGGACCUAAGGUGAGGCCGAAAGGCGUAAUCGAUGGCAAACAGGUUAAUAUUCCUGUACUGAUUUUGGUGGGGACCGAGGGACGGAGAAGGCUAAACUAGAUCUGUGCAUGGAAUGCAGUGGAAGCGUCUAGGCGAUGACAGGUAGAACAAAAACUAUCCUGGAGCUGAGGCGUGAUCCCGCUCUCUGGAACUCGUUCCGGUUGAGCGCUAGUGAUGUCAGACUUCCAAGAAAAGCUCGUGCACCUCUUUCUCGUUCACGAGAAAGAUCCAACGCCAAAAUCACCUGUACCUGAAACCGACACAGGUAGGUAGGUAGAGAAUACUGAGGGGCGCGAGAUAACUCUCUCUAAGGAACUCGGCAAACUGGCCCCGUAACUUCGGAAGAAGGGGCGCCCUCUGCGAAGAGGGUCGCAGUGACCAGGCCCAGGCGACUGUUUACCAAAAACACAGGUCUCAGCAAAGUCGUAAGACAACAUAUUGGGGCCGAUGCCUGCCCAGUGCCGGAAGGUGAAGGAAGUUGGUCAUCCGCAUCUGCGGAGAAGCUGACGACCGAAGCCCCGGUGAACGGCGGCUGUAACUAUGACAGUCCUAAGGUAGCGAAAUUCAUUGUCGAGUAAGUUUCGACCUGCACGAAAGGCAUAACGAUCUGGGCGCUGUCUCGGAGAGAGACUCGGUGAAAUAGACUUGUCCGUGAAGAUGCGGACUACUUGCAUUUGGACAGAAAGACCCUAUGAAGCUUCACUGCAGGCUGGCAUUGGGUUCGGGCUUUUCUUGCGCAGUCUAGGUGGGAGGCUUUGAAGGUUUCCUUCCGGGGAAGCUGGAGCCAUCAGUGAGAGACCACUCUGGAAAGGCUAGAAUCCUAAUGGUGAUCCUUGAAUCAGGACACUUGACAUUGUCAGCUAGACAGUUUUUCUGGGGCGGAAGGCUCCCAAAAGGUAACGGAGCUGUGCAAAGGUUCCCUCAGUCUGGACGGAAAUCAGACGUGGAGUGUAAAGGCAAAAGGGAGCUUGACUGCAAGACCUACAAGUCGAGCAGGAGCGAAAGCUGGCCUUAGUGAUCCGACGGUGCCGUGUGGAAGGGCCGUCGCUCAACGGAUAAAAGUUACUCUAGGGAUAACAGGCUAAUCUUAUCCAAGAGUUCACAUCGACGAUAAGGUUUGGCACCUCGAUGUCGGCUCAUCACAUCCUGGAGCGGUAGUACGUUCCAAGGGUUGGGCUGUUCGCCCAUUAAAGUGGUACGUGAGCUGGGUUCAGAACGUCGUGAGACAGUUCGGUCCAUAUCCGAUGCAAGCGCUAGAGCAUUGAGGGGAGUCUUCCAUAGUACGAGAGGACCUGUGAAGAACAUGCCAAUGGUGUAUUAGUUAUCUUUCCAAAGGUAAACGCUAAGUAGCUACGCAUUGAGUGGAUAAGUGCUGAAAGCAUCUAAGUACGAAGCCCACCUCAAGAUGAAUGCUCUCUAUUAGGUCGCGGCAAGAACAGCCGUCGAUAGGUAUCAGGUGUACGAUCAGCAAUGAUUUCAGCCGAGAUAUACUAAAGGCCAAAUGAUUUUGAC